rnacentral:lncRNA from 1 species
UUUUUUUUUUUUUUUUUUUAAUGAUUUUUAUUUUUUCCAUCAUAUCUGGUUUGCAGUGUUCUGUCAAUUUUCUACUGUACAGCAAGGUGACUCAAUCACAUGUAUGUAUAUACAUUCUUUUUCUCACAUUAUCAUGCUCCAUCAUAAGUGACUAGAUAUAAUUCCCAGUGCUAUACAGCAGUAUCUCAUUGCUUAUCUAUUCCAAAGGCAAUAGUUUGCAUAUGUUAACCCCAAAUUCCAGUCCAUCCCACUCCCUCCCCCUCGGCAACCACAAGUCUGUUCUCCAAGUCCAUGAGUUUCUUCUCUGUGGAAAGGUUCAUCUAUGCCAUAUAUUAGAUUCCAGAUAUAAGUGAUAUCAUAUGGUAUUUGUCUUUCUCUUUCUGACUUACUUCACAUAGUAUGAGAGUCUCUAGUUCCAUCCAUGUUGCUGCAGAUGGCAUUAUUUUGUUCUUUUUUAUGGCUGAGUAGUAUUCCAUUGUGUGUAUAUACCACAUCUUCUUAAUCCAUUCGUCUGCUGGUGGACGUUUAGGUUGUUUCCAUGUCUUGGCUGCUGUGAAUAAUGCUGCAAUGAACAUAUGGGUGCAUGUAUCUUUUUCAAGGAAAGUUUUGUGAGGAUUUGUGCCCAAGAGUGGUAUUGCUGGGUCAUAUGGUAGUUCUAUAUUUAGUUUUCUGAGGUACCUUCAUACUGUUUUCCACAGUGGUUGUACCAAUUUACAUUCCCACCAACAGUGUAGGAGGGUUCCCUUUUCUACACACCCCCUCCAGCAUUUAUUAUUUGUGGACUUAUUAAUGAUGGCCAUUCUGACUCAAGUGAGGUGGUAUCUCAUGGUAGUUUUGAUUUGCAUUUCUGUAAUAAUCAGUGAUGUUGAGCAUUUUUUCAUGUGCUUGUCGGCCAUCUUCUGUCUUUUUUUGUCAGUCUUGCUAAAGGUUCCAUUUUGUUGAUCCUUUCAAAGAACCAAGUUUUGGUUUCAUUGUUUUUCCAUUCCAUUAAUUUCUUAUUUUACUUUUUUAUUUCUUAUUUUUUUUAAGGGCUGCUCCUGAGGCAUAUGGAAGUUCCCAGGCUAGGGAUUGAGUUGGUGCUAUAGCUGCCGGCCUGUGCCACAGCCACAGCAGCACCAGAUCCAAGCUGUGUCUGUGACCUACACCAUAGUUCACAGCAAUGCUGGAUCCUUAACCCACUGAGCGAGGCCAGGGAUUGAACCCAAGUCCCCAUGGAUACUAUAUCUGGUUCAUAACCUGCUGCACCACAAGGGAACUCUCUAGGUUACUUUUUUUUUUUUUUUUUUUUGGUCUUUUUGCCUUUUCCAGGCCUGCUCCCUUGGCGUAUGGAGGUUCCCAGGCUAGGGGUUGAAUCGGAGCUGUAGCCACCGGCCUACGCCAGAGCCACAGCAACGCGGGAUCCGAGCCGCGUCUGCAACCUACACCACAGCUCACGGCAACGCCGGAUCGUUAACCCACUGAGCAAGGGCAGGGACCAAACGCACAACCUCAUGGUUCCUAGUCAGAUUCGUUAACCACUGCGCCACCACGGGAACUCCUAGGUUACUUUUUUAAAAGUAUCUGGAGCUUCAGAGAGGGCCCAGCUCAGAAACAGUAGGGGAGGCAAGUGGUCAGCAGUGUUUGCAUUACCAACAGGGAGCAGGGCAAGGACUUGAUUCAUAGUGCUGGGCAGCCUGAGUUCUGCCUUCCCCCUGUUAUUACUGGGCAGGCAGGCAGUGGGGUGGGCCUGGGAUUUGCGUGAGGGUGGGCCUGAAAUGGGGGACGAUAUAGCAGAUAGUCAGGUGACAUGGAGAGCCAGAGCUCCCUGGGCUUCUGAUAUUUUACCUGAUAAAGAGCUAUACCCAUCUCACAGACUUUGGAGACCUUAAAGAGUACCUCUGUUCCUCUUAAUGACUGAGAUUCUAAGCAGAGAUUUGAUUCCAUGAAAGAAAUAAGGCUUCAAGGCAGAUCCCAUAGGUAAAUAUGGAAGUAGAUAUUGAAGAACUCUAAGCAAUGCCUAGGUUUGCUGGAUACUUUUUGUGGCCUUAGUUUCCUCAUCUAUAAACAAUAUCAGUUUCUACCCACCCUACUGUGUAAGGCAUAUUUUAAAUAAGUACUAUGUAAAACCAUUAGAUACCAUCCAUAUGUAAGGGACAAUUAUGUUAGUAAUUACGGUCCUAGAGACUUGGGACAAGGUCUGAGAAAAUCCAGGAGCAGUUGCAGUACAUCAUCCUUCAAGGUGUAGGGGCUGAAUUUCUUACUAAAGUGGACUCGUAGCUUAGUGUUAAGGCAGGAGGUUCACUGUCUGCCAGUGUAAUCAUCAGAAGACUCCUGGAGUUUUCUAUGGAGAAGAUCUGAGGGAGUCCAUCAGGGCAGCUCAUAUUAAAAGUAGCUGUCCCUGUUCCUUUUCCACUCAGGAAUUUUGCCCACAUUUUAUUGCUUUGGUUCCAGAGACAGCUAGCUUUCCUGAUGGUUGCUGUCACAGGGAAAGCGACAAGGCCCAGCUCACUUGAGGGGAAGGAAUAGUGUGCAAAAGGUUCUGGGCCCCAUCAGGCCCUGUGUCCUCCUCCUCCCUCAGUUUUCAUUAAAAUGAAAGAAGGUCUUUCUGUCCCAUUGGAUCAGCAAGCCUGACAGAAGAGGGACUGACAAGUCCUAUAAGUCAGAUCAGCUAGAGGGCAGUUUUAAGGAUGUUGACUGUGGCAGAGUUAGGAUUCUGAGCGUAAGAAUAAAGCCAAGAAAUCAAACACCCAAACUGGGUAACCAUAAAUCAGUAAACCAAUGUCCAUGAGCAACUGCAGUGCCAGAAUCCUGAGAUGAGUAGGGCAGGAAUAAACGGGAUUUGAGAUCUAGUGAGGCAGAUGCAGAAAAAAAAAAAACCAGAAAACAAAAAACCUAAAACUAUACUACAAAAGAUCACAUUAACCCCAAAACAGAAAUUGCCUUUUUUUUUUUUUUUUUUUUUUUUUUUUUUGCUUUUUAGGGCUGCACUUGCAGCAUAUGGAAGUUCCCAGACUAGGGGUCGAAUGGCAGUUAGAGCUGUCAUUGGAACCUUAAUCCACUGAGUGAGGCCAGGUAUUGAACCCUUAUCCUCAGGGAUGCUAGUCAGGUUCGUCCCUGCGGAGGCACCACAGGAACUCCAGAAAUAGCUUCUGUUGAAUCAUUUGUCAUUUAGUAUUAUCCGAAUCUCUACUGUUGUCCCUUCCUCUCAUCUCCCUCCCCUCCCCUCAUUUCCCCAGUUAGCGUAAUAUGUCAAGAGUAACUGUACUAAGAAGUGCAUAGGGCAGGGGAUGAAAGUUAUCUUCAGUAUAAUUGAUCUUGAGGAAGAUUAACUGCAUCUUUCCCACUGUUGUAUGUACUUUUGAAAACUUUAGGUCAUAUGCUGCUAGGGAAAGAGAGGAAGCUUUUAAAUCUUUGAAGCCAAAGAUUUAAAUCCUUCUGAUCUGACAUUUAUUUCCUAUAUUACUACUAACCUCUCCAAGCUAUAGUUUCCUCAUCUGCAAAAUGGAAACAGUAAUGCCUAUACAGUUAUUGUGAUGCAAAUAGGAGAUAAUGGGAAAAUGCCUGGCCUGGAUUAGUUGAAAUAAAUUCUGAUACCACGUGUUCAGUGUUAGAUUGUAGUAGAAUGUGGAGUAUUGUGAUACAGGCUCUCGGCAAAGCAUUAAAUGUCUCUGGGCCUCAGUUUUCCUCAGUUCCAAAAAGAGGGAAUGAAGUAGAAAGUUGAUCUGUAAUUGCUGAUGUGUCUCUUCCAGUUCUGUGCCUCUGAAGGCACUUGGUCUAUAGUUCAAAGGAAGAAAAGAGUCAGGAGGAAAGAAAGAGCCAUUUAUCUAAAAGGAAAAGUAUCUAGUAGGAGUUUGCUGCAGGGGCAAUGAUCUGCCUUUCAGCCAGUACUUGGAAAAGAAAUAUCAAAGAGAAGAUCAGAAUGGUCUGGAAGGUUGGAGACUGAGGAUAUAAUGAGUAUAAUGAGACUGUAAGGCAUAGGACCCAGUUUGUUCUCCAUUACUCAGUUUCCUGGUGUUCCCAGCAAGCUAUUUCUCUUUUUGCAGCCCUCAUAUCCCCAUCCGUAAAACGAAUUUGGUGAUGUAUUCUCCGAGGAUCUCUUUAGGCUUCCUAAAAUUUCAUUAUCCUGUUUCUUCUGGCUCUCAAAUUGGUUUGUACCCCGGGUUUUACUGUUGAUGUUGAGGAUUUCAUUUAUAGGAGAAAGUUUCUUAACUGUUGAGGCUUUGUCUGGCACCAGAGUAUGUAUUUAGAAUGCUCUUGAAACCAUAGUUUUAGGCCACUAAGAACCAUAAAAUUUUCAAGUCCAGAAAUGCUUUGGUCCACUUGGCCUGACUUCCUCAUUAACACUAAGAGAUGAUGCAGCAGAGUAGAAAGACUACUGGCUUUGACAGCAGACCUUAACUUCAGAUUCCUGCCAGUAUUAGCCUAACCUUUCUGAACCAUAGUAUCAUCAUCUGAAAAUGCAUGAUAAUAGAGUAGGCACAUAAAGAAUUAUUAUUUGGAGGAGAAAGAAAAAAACUGAGGACUAAGAGAUGCUGUUACCUGCUCAGAAUCAAGCUAGACCAGAACCCAGGUCUUUUGUGUCUCAGUCCAGGACUUGCUUUUCUGGCACCAAGGUCAGCUGUACCCGUAUGUAUGUAGUAGUGAAGACUGGAACUGAAAGGAUGUCAGCUUUCUUAACGUCUCCGCCAGCAGUCUUUUCAAUUCCCCUGUGGUGUGUGUCAGUAACACAGCACGUUCUUGUUUUAGAAACAGGCACUUCAUAAGCACUCCUGUUUGAUUUGCUUUGGCUGGUACAGGAUCCAGAUGCUCUUAGAAUAGCACAACAGACUCUCCAAAUCAGCCCAUUCCCAUUCUGAGUCACUCACAGCUCUCAUCUGCUUCUGGCUGAGGUUUGUGCCCUAGUCUUCCCUACCUGUCAUGUGAAUCACAUUCAGUCAUCUUUUGCACUUUGUCCUUUCCCCUUGAUAUAAAUCACAUUUAUUGAGUACCUACUAUGUGCCAGGUACUGUGAAUAGGUUAAUUUGAUAUCUCCCUUAAUCUUUAUAAUUCAUUAAGUUACUAAUAGCUGCACAGGGAAAAGCUGAGGCUCAGUGAACUAAAUGAUUUUUACUAGAGGCCAUUUACCUAGUCUGUGAAAGAACUUGGGUUUGAACUCAGCGGUACUUCUGCCCCCAUAGACCCCAUAUACUUUGUAUAGUAAGCUCUUUCCUGAGUAUCACACUACCUCUGGCCUCUGCCCUUCCAGGAGGGUAGAGUGUUCAGGAAUGGCCAGGAAGGGGCAUUCAGUGACUUUGGUAUAAUGGAAAUCUCUUCCAUGCCUUCAGUACAUUUUCUUCUGCCCUGUCUUGCCUCAGACCAACUUCUCCAGGAUCUAGUUGUGUGGUCCAUAGGUUUAAGCACCAAGCCAGAGGCCAGGUUUCCAUCUUCAACAUGGAGGCUCUAGCAAAAAGUGUACUUGACAUUUUCAAAAGUUGAAUGAGGGGAAUAUGCCAAGCAACGAGCCCCUUCCUUACCUGUAUGCCCAGCUCUGAAAUGGAGGGAAGGAAGAGAGAGGGUCUCUGCAUCUGAAGCGUGAUGAACUUCCUUCAGGGAUUUGGCAGGAGAGAUGUACACAAGUAAAAGAUUUCAGAAUAAGAUUGCUCUAAUGUGUCUUCAAAUCUGACUUUUCAGCUUACAAAGCACCUUGAGAUCUUAGUAUGAAGAAACUGAAGGCAUCUAACUUUAGGUGGCAGAGUCAGGGGCUAGAGUCCAAAUGCUUAGUCUUGAUAAGGUCAGUGAGGUCCAAGGCCUCCCUGAAAGUGUUUUGUCUUUGGUCUUGGGUUCCACUCAAUCUUCAUUUGCGAAAGGGGCAGCUCACUAGUCUGCCCUUUUCUGAGUACGCCCUGCUCUGCCCAUUUGUCCCCUUCCUUACCCCUUCCUACUCAACUGCUAGGGUCUUCUUAGUAAGACCUUCUUCUAAUGAUAAUGUUUUUAAGCAUAGGGUAAGCGGUGAUAGUUUUGGCUAUUUUCCCUAGGAUCAUUUGCCAUAAAAUAAUGGAAUUUUAGGAUGUCAGAGUGGGAAGAGACCUUAAUUAACAGUUAUCAGUUUUAUGGAAGAGCCCUUUAUUUAAACACAUAAUUCAAUAUCUAAAACAGAGCAGCUCUGUUUGAUGUGACAUUGAGGGGCCAGUCCAGUCUACCAGUCCUGUCCUCAUCAAAGACGGCCUCUGAGGCAUCUUAAACCAGCGGGGUUGCCAGGAACACAGUUUGUCAAACAACACUGACCUAGGUCAAUUCCCCCCUUUUAUAAUUGUGAAAUUGAGGCCCAGCAAGGGGCAGUAAGUAGUAUGCCCAAGGUCACACAGUAAAUUAGUGACAGGUCUCCUGACUCUCAGCCUGGUGCCCUUUUUUGCUACACUGAGCUUUAUGUCAUUUCAUAAGUGACCACUUGUUCCACUUUACUAACAUCCUGCGCCUAGAUGUCAGGCUUCUUUUGCCUCUUGGCAUCUGGUUUCCAUGAGGUAGGCAGGCUUGAGGGUGAGUAUACUAUGUCAAAGCAUAAUUUUCAUACAUGUGAACACUGUCAGGUUUUGUUUAACUCAUUAAUGUAGCAACUAGCAGAAAGAGAAUAGCUGGGAGAAUAGAUUUAUGUUGUUAGUGAAAAAAGAUUGCUGAAAUUAGAUCCAAAAUUAAUUAAUGUCUUAAUGAAAAUGUAAUGUUUCAUAAUAUCUUCUCUACAAAAAAAUAGUACAUAUUCUCAGUUUUCUACACAUUAACCUCUAAUUUUGCAGAGUUUUAAAAUAUUUGAAGUCUGUUUGUGAACAGUAAAUCGAAUGAAAUUCCAUUCUGCAAGAACAUCAGAUAACUCAGAUGCAUACUAAAAAGAAUGUCUUAACAUGACUUUAAAAGGUUAUACAGUCAUCUUUUUGCCUAACCUCCAGUUUUGGGAUAAUUUUCGUUAGCAAAGCACGGCUGAAAAUGAUUAGAGCCUCUGGUAUUAAAGCUGGCUAGACCUUUCCCAACUUUGAAAGGCAUCUUUCUACCUCAGGGCACGGACCCAACUUCUUGGCUGAAGCUUCUGUAAGUAGCAGCCAUCAAUCAGCAUGAUCUUGAGCUGUCUCCUAUAGCCCUAUUCACUGGCUUGGAGCUUGGCCUUUGCUAAUCCUAGUCUUGGUCAUGGAGGCCUUUUCUUUGCUUCUGGUUAUCCUCAAGGCCAUCUUGGAUGCAGAGAGGUCAGAGUUCUAUCUCUAGGAAGUUUGUUGUGAGCAGAGUUUUACUCAGGUAAAGUAGGCAACUGCUUUCAUUAUGUGGUUUUGUCUCUGAAUUGUUUUGCCCAUCUUCUUCCCACUGUUACGACCUGAGGCCAGAUCUUAAUCUCUCACUGACUUUAAUUGCCAACUAACUUGUCUCUGCACAUCCAGUCUUUGCCUCUUAAAUAUAACCUCCUUUUUCUCUCCGUAGGUUUUAAGAUACAGAUCUUAUUCCUAUCACUUUAUUGCUCAUAAAACCUCUGGAAUAAGUCCAGCCUCCUUAGCAUUACAUUCAAGGUUCUGCAAAUACUAUUUCUCCCCUUUCUUUCCAGUUUCUUCUCUAAUCCCAUAGGAAUUCAUAUUAGAGGGUAGAAAUACUAGGGACACCAACUUUGGGACAAUAUGAAGGAAGAACUACCAGAUUAAGUCCACCAGUGAAGGUUAGGAAGUGUAAUUAGUUGUGGUGCUAUGUUAACAUCCAAUAUGGUAGUAAACAUUUGUGCCUGGCAAAGGGAUAGGUCCUUGGGGAUAAGAAGGUAAACACAUGGUCAAGGCCGUUGCAGCCCAUAGUUUAUCAAGGUAAGUAAAGUAAGUAGAUGGCAGUGAUAAUGACUAUUAAUGGAUGUGUGUGGAGUGCUUUGGGAGCAUGGAGGAGGGGGGACACCAACUGCCUGAAGGUUUCACAAAAGAGGUAAUAUUUGGGGGGAGGGGAGAAGGAGUGGGAUGAACUGGGAGUUUGGGGUUAGUAGAUGCAAACUAUUAAAUUUAGAAUGGAUAAGCAAUGAGGUCCUACCCAUAUGUACAUGGUCUCUUGGGAUAGAUCAUGAUGGAAGAUAAUAUAAGAAAGGGAAUGUGGAGUUCCUGUUGCGGAGCAGUGGAAACAAUCUGACUAGUAUCCAUGAGGAUGCAGGUUUGAUCCCUGGCUUCGCUCAGUGGCUUGGGGAUCCAGCGUUGACGUGAGGUGUGGUGUAGGUCACAGACACGGCUUGUAUCCCAUAUUGCUGUGGCUGUGGUGUAGGCCAGCAACUAUAGUUCUGAUUCAACCCCUAG